rnacentral:rRNA from 1 species
GGCGGACGGGUGAGUAAUGUAUAGUUAAUCUGCCCUUUAGAGGGGGAUAACAGUUGGAAACGACUGCUAAUACCCCAUACUCCUUUUAUCUUAAUGAUAAUUGGGAAACGUUUUUUCGCUAAAGGAUGAGACUAUAUGGUAUCAGGUAGUUGGUGGGGUAAGAGCCUACCAAGCCAAUGACGCCUAGCUGGUCUGAGAGGAUGAUCAGCCACACUGGAACUGAGACACGGUCCAG